CUGAUAUGAAGAGCUUGCUCGGAUUUGAAGAUGAACAUUGCAAAGAGUGGCGAACGGGUGAGUAACACGUGGGAAACCUACCUCUUAGCGGGGGAUAACACUUGGAAACAAGUGCUAAUACCGCAUAAUACUGAUAACCGCAUGGUUAUCAGUUGAAAGAUGGUUCUGCUAUCACUAAGAGAUGGUCCCGCGGUGUAUUAGCUAGUUGGUAAGGUAAUGGCUUACCAAGGCAAUGAUACAUAGCCGAGUUGAGAGACUGAUCGGCCACAAUGGGACUGAGACACGGCCCAUACUCCUACGGGAGGCAGCAGUAGGGAAUCUUCCACAAUGGACGAAAGUCUGAUGGAGCAACGCCGCGUGUGUGAUGAAGGGUUUCGGCUCGUAAAACACUGUUGUAAGAGAAGAAUGACAUUGAGAGUAACUGUUCAGUGUGUGACGGUAUCUUACCAGAAAGGAACGGCUAAAUACGUGCCAGCAGCCGCGGUAAUACGUAUGUUCCAAGCGUUAUCCGGAUUUAUUGGGCGUAAAGCGAGCGCAGACGGUUGUUUAAGUCUGAAGUGAAAGCCCACAGCUUAACUGUGGAAGUGCUUUGGAAACUGGAUAACUUGAGUGCAGUAGAGGAGAGUGG
rnacentral:rRNA from 1 species